GUGCAGAUAUGCAGAUAUGGAGGGCAAUGACAAACAGCUUCAUAACCAUCUAGCAGAAAUGCAAAUGCCGUAGGUAGGACAGAAGCUUUGUUGCAGAAGAAUGCAGUAAAAAAGUCGCCGUAAUUUCAACAUGUGAUUCAAGCUACAGGAUCGUAGGUAGGACAGAGGCUUUGCUGCAGAAGAAUGCAGAAAAAAGUGGUGUACCCUACCAAGUUUCUGAACAUUUGUAAUUUCAACAUGGGAUUCAAGCUGAAUAACAUGCAGGGGGCGACGAGGAGAUAACGUGCAGAGAAGCAGAGAUGGAGAAAAACCGUGCACUAAGAUUCAGUAAAGUGGCGAAAUGAUGCCGUUUUAGCCGAAA
rnacentral:misc_RNA from 1 species